GACGAACGCUGGCGGCGUGCUUAACACAUGCAAGUCGAACGAAGUGGCGAACGGGUGAGUAACGCGUAAUCAACCUGCCCUUCAGCGGGGGACAACAGUUGGCAACGACUGCUAAUACUGCAUUCUGAAGGUGGGGCUUCCGUCUGAUUAGCUAGUUGGAGGGGUAACGGCCCACCAAGGCGAAGAUCAGUAGCCGGUCUGAGAGGAUGAACGGCCACAUUGGGACUGGGACACGGCCCAGACUCCUACGGGAGGCAGCAUGGGGGAAUCUUCCGCAAUGGAAGAAAGUCUGACGGAGCAACGCCGCGUGAGUGAUGACGGCCUUCGGGUUGUAAAGCUCUGUUAAUCGGGACGCGGUACCGGAAUAGAAAGCCACGGCUAACUACGUGCCAGCAGCCGCGGUAAUUC
rnacentral:rRNA from 1 species